ensembl:snoRNA SNORD82 Small nucleolar RNA SNORD82
GGCACAGGGGAUGAUCUGCCAAGGGACUUAAUUCUGAAGCCUGAUAGACACUCACGGUCAUAAGCUGAUGUGC